UACGUAAGGUGCAAACGUUACCCGGAAUCAUUGGGCGUAAAGCGUCCGCAGGCGGCAAGGUAAGUAAGAUGUUAAAUCUUGAGGCUCAACUUCAAGACCGCGUCUUAAACUGCCUAGCUAGAGACUUGGAGAGGCGAGUGGAAUUCUGUAUGUAGGGGUAAAAUCCGUAGAUAUACAGAGGAACACCAAAAGCGAAGGCAGCUCGCUGGCCAAGUUCUGACGCUCAGGGACGAAAGCAUGGGUAGCGAACGGG
rnacentral:misc_RNA from 1 species